rnacentral:tRNA from 1 species
GGAUGGGUGGCAGAGCGGUUUAAUGCAACGGUCUUGAAAACCGUCGUGGGGGCAACCCCACCGGGGGUUCAAAUCCCUCCCCAUCCGCCA